ensembl:lncRNA
CUCACACUAAAGCAUUCCCAACUUGAAGAAAACAUUUCUCGCCUUAAGAGGGAAAAGCUGGACAUUGAGCUAUUGCUGUCAGAAGAGAGGCUUUCUUUUGAAAAGGAAACUUUGCGAAUGGAAAGACAAAUUUCAGAUCUCCAAGAGGCAGUGAACAGCAUACGAGCAGAAAGGGAGGCUCAGGAGGAAGUAUCGAGGGAAAACCAGCAAAUUCUUACUGCCCGAAUUUCAUCUUUAGAAAAUGAUCUGGCUCAUCUCCAACAGCUGGAAGUCCAGCUCACGGCAGAAAUUGCUAUCUCUGCAGAACUCCGAAAGCAGCGAGAGAAACUGGAGGCACAGGUAGCAUCUUUAGAGGACUUGGUCAAUGGGCUACAAAUCAAAUGCCAAGGAAUGGGGUCAGAGAAUGAGGCACAACAAGAGGCUCUCACUGCUGUCAGGGCUGACCUGCGGAUUGCCCAAGUCUCACUUGUGGAAUAUGAAAUGAAGUUGGCAGACCAUCAAAAAGUGGUAGAAGAGAACUCCUCUCUCCAUACCAGAAUUUCUGCACUGGAUGACACCAUUGUCCUUUUUCAAAAUGAAGUUGAGAGAGAGAGAAAAAGAGGUGAGGAAGUUCUUGUUGCAAAGGAUCAGCAUACAGCUCUGUUGGAAGAAAGGUUUCAAGAACAGGAGAAAAAGGCUCAUGAAAUGUUUGCAGAACUGGAGACACUGAGUCAGGAACUCCGUAAAAUGAAGCAACAGAAGCACCAUGCUGAAACAUGUAUGGAGAAGUUUGCCCAGGAAGGAAGAGCGCUAGCAGCCAGUCUCUCAGAGCAGCAAGAGCUUGCCCAGUCACAACUGGAGCUAGUAAAGAAAGCCAAAGAUGAAUCUGAGGAGGAACUUCAACGUAUCAUUACAGAGCAUCAGACCAAGAUAUCGGAGUUGCAUUGUGAGAUUAAGGGAAACAUUGAGUCACUAAUGCAAAGGGAGUGUGAACUGUGUGUCUUGAAAGAAAAAGCAUCUUCCAAGGAUAAAGAACUUGUAGACCAGCAGCAGAAACUAGCCCACCUUCAAUGUGAGGCAGAAAAUCUUCAAAAGCAGUUGGUGGAACAAGAAGGCCAUUCUCAGCAGCUGAGUCAGAUUGUGGUUUCCAAAGACAUGGAAAUUCAACAACUGAAGGCAGAUCUUAAGAUGAAGGAAGGGGAGAUCCAGUCCCUGAAGGCCAGCAUUCAGUCCAUUCAAGCAAAGUCCAG